rnacentral:rRNA from 1 species
CCUACGGGAGGCAGCAGUGAGGAAUAUUGGUCCAUGGGCGAGAGUCUGAACCAGCCAAGUAGCGUGAAGGAUGACUGCCCUAUGGGUUGUAAACUUCUUUUAUAAGGGAAUAAAGUGUUCCACGUGUGGGUUUUUGUAUGUACUAUAUGAAUAAGGAUAGGCUAACUCCGUGCAAGCAGCCGCGGUAAGACGGAGGUUCCCAGCGUUAUCCGGAUUUCUUGGGUUUAAAGGGAGCGUAGGUGGGUUUGUAAGUUAGUUGUGAAAGUUUGCGGCUCAACCGUAAAAUUGCAGUUGAGACUGGCAGCCUUGAGUACAGUAGAGGUGGGCGGAAUUCGUGGUGUAGCGGUGAAAUGCUUAGAUAUCACGAAGAACUCCGAUUGCGAAGGCAGCCCACUGGACUGCAACUGACACUGAGGCUCGAAAGUGUGGGUAUCAAACAGGAUUAGAUACCCCAGUAGUC